GGCGGGUCUCCUCGCCUGGUAAUUCGGAACAACGGGUCAGGGGCGGAAGCCAGCAGCCCACUCUGAUGAGCCAGUGCCGGGGGUUCGGCUCGCCACC
rnacentral:SRP_RNA from 1 species